UCUGUGGUGAUGAGUGGCGCAGGGGUACGGACCUCAGCCGGUGAUGGGGGCUGAGUGCUGCUGCUGCGCUCUGAUUGGUGGACGUGUGGUUCGCUGACGGACCGGCAGCAGCACGAGACAGACGCCUGACUGAACAGA
ensembl:snoRNA